CUUCCGGUGCCCUGCGCGCCGGCGCUCCCCGCCGCCGCCCCGCUGGCCCAGCCCAGGUACAGCCCGCGAGGCCUGGCGCGGACGUCCCCGGGUCCGGACGACUGUUCGUGGUGCGGCAAGAGCCUCAGGGAGCGGGCCGGCUUCCUCGCUCAAGUUCCGGGAGCCCUUUCAGAUUUUAUUUAUUCAUGAGAGACAGAGAGAGGCAGAGACACAGGCAGAGGGAGAAGCACACUCCAUGCAGGGAGCCCAAUGUGGGACCCGAUCCUGGGAGCCCGGGACCACGCCUUGAGCCGACGGCAGAUGCCCAACCGCUGAGCCACCCAGGCGUCCCGAGAUUUUUCUUCUUGAGAGAGAGAGCCAGAGUCCAUGCAGGGGGAGCAGGAGUGGCAGGGGAGCAGGAGUGACACUGCUCAGCAGGGAGCCCAAUGUGAGGCUCAAUCCCAGGAUCAUGACCUGAGCUGCCCAGCACCCCAAAAUACAGGAUUUAAUUUAAGUCUUUUUAAAUUUGUUGAGACUUGUUUUGUGGCUUAAUGUGAUCUUUUCUGGAGAAUAUUUCAUGUACACUUGAAUGUGUUUUCUGCAGUUUUAGGAUGGGAUGUUCUGAAUAUAUCUGUUAGACCCAUCUGGUCCAAUGUGUCAUUCAAAGCCACUGUUUCCUUGUUGAUUUUCUGUUUGGAUGAUAUAUUCAUUGAUGUAAGUGGGGUGUUAAAGUCCCCUACUAUUGUAUUAUUAUUGAUUUCUUCCUUUGUGUUUGUUAAUUGCUACUUUAUGUAAUUUGGGUGCUUCCAUAUUGGGUACAUAAAUAUUUACAAUUGUUAUACCUUCUUGUAGGGUUGUCCCCUUUAUGAUUAUAUAGUAUUCUUCUUUGUCUCAUUACAGUCUUUAUUUUAUUUUUUUGUUAACUAGGCUCCAGGCUGGGCUCCAGAGUGGGGCUUGAACUCACAACCCUGAGAUCAAGACCUGAGCUGAGAUCUAGAAUCAGACACUUAACCGACUGAGCCACUCAGGUGCCCCUACAGUCUUUAUUUUAAAGUCUAUUUUGGGGCAGCCCCGGUGGCUCAGUGGUUUAGCGCUGCCUUCAGCCCUAGAGACCUGGGAUCGAGUCCCACGUCAGGCUCCCUGCAUGGAGCCUGCUUCUCCCUAUGCCUGUGUCUCUGCCUCUCUCUGUGUGUGUGUGUGUCUCAUGAAUAAAUAAAAUAAAAUCUUAAAAAAAAAUAAAAAGGUCUAUUUUGUCAGAUACAAGUAUUGCUACCCCAGUUUUCUUUUCACAUCCAUGUGCAUAACAAAUGCUUUUCCUUCCUUUCAUUUUCAAUCUGUGUAUGUGUUUAGUCUGAAUAACCUUUUUUUUUUUUUUAAAGGAGACUAACAUUGGUUUGCCAACUUUGUGUUUUAGCAAGUUAGAGCAUUAAAACAGCAACAGCCUACUAGUGUCAUCAUCAUAUAAGUGUGGACAUUCGUAUUUUAUUUAUUUACUUACUUAAGAUCUUAUUUGUUUAUUCAUGAGAGACAGAGAGAUUGGGAGACAGAGGGAGAAGCAGACUCCCCACAAGGGGCCCGAUGUGGGACUCCAUCUGGGAUCCCAGGAUCAAGACCUGAGCUGAAGGCAGACAUUCAACCGCUGAGCCAUCCAGGCAUCCCAACAUUUGAAUUUUAAAAGAUCCAAUGGUCCUAUCAUCUCAUAGGACAGUUUUUUAAAUGGAGCAAUUUCAGUUUUAUGAAAAUCUUACUGUGUUGUUUUGAUUUCUCUCAUCUGAAGAGAAAUCUCACCUGCUUCAUGUUGACUAGAACAAUCCUCAGGGUAUGAGGUUUGGGGACUAGCUCAGUGUUUAGAAACUGCCCUCCUUAAUACCCCCCUUAGUGCCCCUGGGAGCUUCCCAUCUGGUUAUUUUGUUUCCUUCUUUAGUUAUUCUUCCCAGUUUGCUUUUUAAAGACUUUAUUACUUAAAAAAUUAAAAAUCAAAAAAAAUCUUUGGUGGCAUCUGGCUUAGUUGGGAGAGCAUAGGACUCUUGAUCUUGGGGUUGUAAGUUCAAGUUCCACAUUGGGUAUAGAGGUUACUUAAAUAAACUUUAAAAUUUUAUUGAGUAAUAAUUGACAAAUAUAAUUGUAAGCGGUUAAAGUGCACAACCUGAUGAUUUGAUAUAUAUGUAUAUUGUAGAAUGACUGCCAAGAUCAAAAUAAUUAACACAUCCAUCACCUCACAUAGUUAAGGCAUAGUUGGCUCUUUGUGUGGUGAGCAAGUUUAAGAUCCAUUUUCAACAACUUUCAAGUCUACAAUAAUAUAUUAAUUAUAGUUACCAUGCUAUACAUUAGAUUCUUAGACCCUUUUUUAAAAAAAAAUUAUUUUUAAAUAAUUUCCACACCCAAUGACGGGCUUGAACUCACCACCCUGAAAUCAAGAAACACAUGCUCUACCACUGAUCCAGCCAGGCACCCGGACCUUAUUUUUCUUAGAACUGAAGAUCUGUACCCUUUGACCUACAUCAGCUCAUGUAGGUUUUCUUAAUCAGUAUUCGUGGGGUGUUUGGCUAAUUAGAAAUCACACUGUGCAAAUCAGAAUCUCUUAUAGCUUCUAGAAAUUUCUUGGUGAGCAACCUUUAUCUUCCCCCACAAGAGCCAAUUUCGGGGGAAAAAUGAUGUUUGUGGGUUGCAUUUAUUUUUCAUUCCCAAUAAAAAUAGGUUUGAGUCCCAUGGGGUAAAAUGUAUUUUUCUUCCAGGGUAGAAUUCGUGGGCAACAAAGGAGGUUUAUGCUAAUGAGAGGCUAGCGCCGCUUUCCAGCUACUAAAAUGUUAAUAUGUGGCACAGUUGAGAACUAGUUACACAG